AACUUUCAACAACGGAUCUCUUGGCUCUGGCAUCGAUGAAGAACGCAGCGAAAUGCGAUAAGUAAUGUGAAUUGCAGAAUUCAGUGAAUCAUCGAAUCUUUGAACGCACAUUGCGCCCUCUGGUAUUCCGGGGGGCAUGCCUGUUCGAGCGUCAUUA
rnacentral:rRNA from 1 species